rnacentral:rRNA from 1 species
GAUUAGCUGGACCUUUACGCAUUUGCGGAUCGCCGAGUUCGGCUGCUUGGCCUCGAUACCCACCUUCUCAAGGACUAUGCCCUUGGCUUGGGCCGAGCCCUCGAGGGGAUCUGCCUUCUCGCGCAGCUUCAGGAUCCUCCGCUUGUAAUAGCGAUCGGACCACCUGAACUUUUGCCGGUUCGAUUCCAGCUUCCGGGCGGUGUUUAUGCCCCUAGCCAUGUCACUCACUCCGUGCAGGCGGGGGAAGGAACUUCUUAUAUUUAAAGAUUGAGUAAACCCAGUCGUCCCGGAGCGGGUGCCUGGCGGGGGUCGGAUUCGGCGCCUAGUUGUCGUCGGCUCCGUUGUGCCACGGGUCGUAGCCGUUAGCGCCCGAUGCUGAGAGGUCCGGU